AUACAGAGGCCCAUAGCGUUGUUCGGAUUUACUGGGCGUAAAGGGCGCGUAGGCGGCAGGGCGUGUCAAGUGUGGAAUCUCCGGGCCCAACCCGGAAAGUGCGCUUGAAACUACCCUGCUCGAGGCCGGGAGAGGGAAUCGGAAUACAGGGUGUAGCGGUGAAAUGCGUUGAUAUCCUGUAGAACACCGGAGGCGAAGGCGGAUUCCUGGAACGGCACUGACGCUGAGGCGCGAAAGUCGGGGGAGCAAACAGGAUUAGAUACCCUGGUAGUCCCGACCUUAAACGGUGCACACUCGAGGUGGGGGGAUUUCACCCCUCCCGUCUCUUAGUCAACACGUUAAGUGUGCCGCCUGGGGAGUACGGCCGCAAGGCUAAAACUCAAAGGAAUUGACGGGG
rnacentral:rRNA from 1 species